UUAUCGCCCGGCCUUUUGGCUCAGAUCAGGUGUAGUAUCUGUUCUUAUCAGUUUAAUAUUGAUACGUCCCCAUCGGGGACUACAUAUUGCUGGAUUUUUUCGAACAGGGAGUCGGAAUGCUAACCGACGCUCCACGCAUGAAUGGUAUUGCAGAAGUACCCGGAAGGGCAACACUUUU
rnacentral:snRNA from 1 species